rnacentral:misc_RNA from 1 species
GGUUUAAAAAACCCAGUUUGAG